ensembl:lncRNA
GCUGUUAUUCCCCAUUUCUCUUGGAUUACUUUGAGAUGUUGUAUAUUUUAACUAAAAUAGAAUAUAUUUUUUAGUGUUUAAAAAGAGAAAACAUAUCUAAACCCAUAGAUGACUGAAAAAUUAAUGGUCUUGUAUUUUAUUGAUAGAAAAUUAUGAUACCAAAAAAUAGCCAAAAAUUACUCAUUCUUUAUACUAUUUUCAACCUCUUACUUACAACAUUAAUUUUUUGAGCCUCGGGAACCGUGAAGUGCCGUACAAAAACAUAUAAUGUUCUCAAGGGAAUUCAGCAUUUUAACACGAACCCUGUGAACCGUUACUUUAAAAGUCGCAUGGUGCUGUCAUGACCCAUGAAACUAAAAACCCAGUGAGAUCAAGAACACAAGGUGGGUAACUACGUGCUAAUUUUUGGACUAGCAGUUAAAUGUAGACUGACCACACACUUAUUUAAAGUUGAAGAAGCAAGUGCUUCUUUUUGCUAAAACAGCUUUUAUUAUCGUUAGAUUCUACGGAUUCUUUAGAAACAGAGCUGCUCCACACUGAAUCCACUGGUCUUGGCUGCCGCCACACGGGACGUCGAUGUUGGCUACCACGCGGUCCCUCUCGGCGCUCGUGUACACGGGCAAGGAUAUGCACUCACUGGGGGAAUAUGGACCGUAGGCACCCUGUAGAGAAAGAACCAGGUGUUAAAAUACGGCAUUGAAGAGUGUAUUUUGGAGAACAUAGAAACAAUCUCUGUGAAAUACUUGCCUUAAAAUGUGUGUUUAUUAAAUACCAACGUGAACAGGAUUAUACCCUUUCAUGCCGUUCAUAUUUAAACGCUUCAGCAAGUCUAAGCACAGGAAUUUCGUGUUAGCUCUGGAAGAAAACCCACCAGAGCUUAAUAUGAACAAUCCAGAACCACAGCAAGUGGGAAAGAACGUCUAACAAAUGAGACAAAGCUUGUUCUUGUGGACAGUGGUGCUACCACUGGGGGACCCGAAAAAAUCACUGACUCGACCUGUCGGUUUCUUCAGCAGCAAACAGAGCCCCCCACCCCGCGACUCUACAACCCACAGGACUAGUGUGAACGUGAGACCGCUUCACCCUGACAGGUCAUCCGGCCUCUCGCAGCGGCACGAUUCGCGAAAACCACAGGCACCUGCUCCAAACUCCUGGCGGUGGAGCGACUGGGUCUGGGCCCGCCUUCCCCAGCGGCCGGGGUACAGUCCACACACUGUCACACGGGCUCCAGGUCUGUACCGUGUGCUGGGCUCGCAGGUGUUGACUCCAUUCCCCACGCUGCGCCUUUCAUUCGGGCGACGUAUUCAUUCUAUAACCUGCCCAUUCCCCGAACCCUGCCCUCCGGCAACCCUCAGUUUGCUCUAUUUUUUGGGUCUGCUGCUGGUAAGUGAAAUCAUAUGGCAUUUGUCUUUCUCUGACUUAUUGAAAUUAAUAAUGCCCUCUAGGUCCAUCCAUGUCGUCACAAAUGGCCACAGCUCGUCCUUCUUCAUGGCUGAGUCACUAGCAGCGUCUGCGGAGACGCCAUCUCCGUUCGUCUCUCUCGGUGAGCGCUGGGCCGCGUGCGUACCUUGCCUACUGGACAUCCCGCUGCAGCGCAUGUCAACGUGCACGUGUAUUUUUCAAAUCGGUGUUUUCAUUUCCUUUGGGUGAGUACCCGGUAGUGCAAUUCCUGGAUCCCGGGGCAGUUGUGUCCCCCCAGCAGAACAG